CUUCUGGAUUCUGCAUUUCUCUUGGAUGAAGACACUGAUGGUAACCUAUGAAAGCUGUAGCUGUGUGUGUAGUUAGUUUUGGAGGAAGAAGCUACACGCUGGAGAUACUGACGUAUAAUUGUGUCUUGAUGAUGAGCGGUGUGUGUGUAUCUUCUGUGAUGAACGUGAGCACAAGAUAUUAAAAAAAGCACUCUGUACAUCCAAAGAAAGGUACUUUCUUAGUUUCUGGUUCGUCUUUAGGGCUCCCUCACCGGCUUCUUAUUGAGUUAAUGAAGUGAAGUCUCUUCAGCAUUUGGCAGUGAAGUAAAGAGCGGUGUGGGUAGUUUUGUUAAAUUAUACAAGAAACUGUAAAUGUUCAGCCUGAUACCAGUCAUGUAUUAAAGAUGUGUCUCUCACUGGAUUUUUUAAUACAUCAUGACUUUUUGUUUUAUUUUAUAAGCUAACCGUUUAAGUUCUUUUAGAACAGAAACGCUGCACAGAAGGAUGCUAGCUGUGCAUUAUGCAAGAAUGAGUCGCAGUAUGUUUCUAGUACAGACGUUGUGAUGCCGAUGUACAGUAGGUCUGAAAGGGGCCGAAAUGUAACCAAAUGUCAUCUUAACUGGUUUGUGUUCCUCAAUAGCAUCUGCUCACAUUCAGCUGCAUAGACGGACUGCUCUAGAACCUGUGUGAGAUUUGUUUUGACACCUUUUCUGUCCGAAGGUCGUCCUAACGGUGAAGCAUUUGUCAUCUUCAGUUUCUUGAUCAAUAAAAGUUGGUAUUAAA